GGGAUAUUACAGGAUCGAAAGACUCCUAUAACCCCUGUGAACUUACUACAAAUACGUUGCUUCGGCGGGUGCCCCGGGUCUCCCGGGGCGUUCAGCCCGCCGGCAGCCUUCAAAUUCUGUUUCUUUGCGUUGGCAUCUCGAGUAUACAAAAAUAAGUUAAAACUUUCAACAACGGAUCUCUUGGUUCUGGCAUCGAUGAAGAACGCAGCGAAAUGCGAUAAGUAAUGCGAAUUGCAGAAUUCCGUGAGUCAUCGAAUCUUUGAACGCACAUUGCGCCCGCCAGCAUUCUGGCGGGCAUGCCUGUUCGAGCGUCAUUUCAACCCUCAGGCCCUGCCUGGCGUUGGAGGACUGCACUGCAGCCUCCCAAAGCGAGCGGCGGCGGCGCCCCACAACCGAACGCAGUAGUUAUACCUCGUUCUGGGCGUGGGACGUUGUCCUGCCGGAAAACACCCCCUUUUUAAUUGUUGACCUCGAAUCAGGUAGGAAUACCCGCUGAACUUAAGCAUAUCAAUAAGCCGGAGGAAAAAGG
rnacentral:rRNA from 1 species